ensembl:lncRNA PARP11-AS1 PARP11 antisense RNA 1
AGAACAUAUCCCCAUUGUUAGGAGGCGCACGACUGUAUUUAGUCCAACAACUUGCUGAAAUGUGAUUCUACCAUUUUUCCAGUCAACUCCUAAGUUUUAAAUACCAUACAUCUGCCACCUUACCAGGCAGUUUCAACCAUAACAACAGAAGAAUACUCUUGGCAAAUAGAUCCCACUCUCUGAGGGUUGUGUUGGGGCUCAGAAAAUACUACCCCGAAGUAUGACACUUUGGCAUGCUGAAUACUUUGAACUAAAAGAGAUUGGAAGGCCUCAGAAGCAGCCUCGGAAGCAGUCUCUCCCUCUGAUCUCCUGCCCUUCUGUCUCCUGCCCAUCUUUCGUCCCAGAAGUGAGUCACAGAAACCAGAAUUCUUCCCCAAGGAGUGGUGGCUGUGAUCCUUACAAUGGGUGGUGAGGAAAGGUACUAAAGUUUUCGGCCCCUACGUUGCACUUUAAAUAAAUAAAUGUAUAAAAGCAAAGUAGACAAAGACACAUGAAGUCAUAAUGAAAAUACCAGAGUCAGCCAAGGAAGAAGGCAGACUUGCAGUUGAAAUGCUCCAGAUCACUUUGUCCACCGAACGAAAACAUCUAAGAACAUACAGUCCAUACUCCAAGUUUUAAACGACUGUCCACCAAGAAGGGAAAAGGAGAACUGAUGGCUCCUCUUAGGCCCAUUCAAGACAAGGGGGUCCCAAUUCCCUUGCUUUAGACUGGUGGGACUGGCAGGUAAACCUGAGGCAAAUGACUGACUACAGGUUCCAAGGCCAGUUACUCCAAUUAGAAAGCAAAACACAAAGUUUCAAAAAA